AGUGAACGCUGGCGGCAGGCCUAACACAUGCAAGUCGAACGGCAGCACAGUAAGAGCUUGCUCUUACGGGUGGCGAGGGGCGGACGGGUGAGGAAUACAUCGGAAUCUACUUUUUCGUGGGGGAUAACGUAGGGAAACUUACGCUAAUACCGCAUACGACCUACGGGAGAAAGCAGGGGAUCUUCGGACCUUGCGCGAUUGAAUGAGCCGAUGUCGGUUUAGCUGUUUGGCGGGGUAAAGGCCCACCAAGGCGAGGAUCCGUAGCUGGCCCGAGGGGAUGAUCGCCCAACCUGAACCUGGACCACGGUCCGGCCCCUUAGGGGGGGCAGCGGUGGGGAUUUUUGGCCAUUGGGCGAAGGCCUGCUCCAGCCAGGCCGCGUGGGUGAAGAGGGCCUCCGGGUGGUAAAGCCCUUUUGUUGGGAAAGAAAAGCAGCAGGUUAACACCCCGCUGUUCUGCCGGAACCAAAAGAAUAAGCACCGGCUACCUUCGG
rnacentral:rRNA from 1 species